AGAUCCUUUGAUUCUGCAGUAGGUAUGACAGUGAGUACCAGGAAAGAGCCUUUGAUUCUGCAGCAGGUAUGACAGUUAGUACCAGGAGAGAGCCUUUGAUUCUGCAGUAGGUAUGACAGUACCAGGAGAGAGCCUUUGAUUCUGCAGCAGGUAUGACAGUUAGUACCAGGAGAGAGCCUUUGAUUCUGCAGCAGGUAUGACAGUUAGUACCAGGAGAGAGCCUUUGAUUCUGCAGUAGGUAUGACAGUACCAGGAGAGAGCCUUUGAUUCUGCAGUAGGUAUGACAGUACCAGGAGAGAGCCUUUGAUUCUGCAGUAGGUAUGACAGUACCAGGAGAGAGCCUUUGAUUCUGCAGCAGGUAUGACAGUUAGUACCAGGAGAGAGCCUUUGAUUCUGCAGUAGGUAUGACAGUUAGUACCAGGAGAGAGCCUUUGAUUCUGCAGUAGGUAUGACAGUACCAGGAGAGAGCCUUUGAUUCUGCAGUAGGUAUGACAGUACCAGGAGAGAGCCUUUGAUUCUGCAGCAGGUAUGACAGUUAGUACCAGGAGAGAGCCUUUGAUUCUGCAGCAGGUAUGACAGUUAGUACCAGGAGAGAGCCUUUGAUUCUGCAGUAGGUAUGACAGUUAGUACCAGGAGAGAGCCUUUGAUUCUGCAGUAGGUAUGACAGUGAGUACCAGGAGAGAGCCUUUGAUUCUGCAGUAGGUAUGACAGUUAGUACCAGGAGAGAUCCUUUGAUUCUGCAGUAGGUAUGACAGUGAGUACCAGGAGAGAGCCUUUGAUUCUGCAGUAGGUAUGACAGUGAGUACCAGGAGAGAGCCUUUGAUUCUGCAGCAGGUAUGACAGUUAGUACCAGGAGAGAUCCUUUGAUUCUGCAGCAGGUAUGACAGUUAGUACCAGGAGAGAGCCUUUGAUUCUGCAGCAGGUAUGACAGUUAGUACCAGGAGAGAGCCUUUGAUUCUGCAGUAGGUAUGACAGUGAGUACCAGGAGAGAGCCUUUGAUUCUGCAGCAGGUAUGACAGUUAGUACCAGGAGAGAUCCUUUGAUUCUGCAGCAGGUAUGACAGUUAGUACCAGGAGAGAGCCUUUGAUUCUGCAGUAGGUAUGACAGUUAGUACCAGGAGAGAGCCUUUGAUUCUGCAGCAGGUAUGACAGUUAGUACCAGGAGAGAGCCUUUGAUUCUGCAGUAGGUAUGACAGUGAGUACCAGGAGAGAGCCUUUGAUUCUGCAGCAGGUAUGACAGUUAGUACCAGGAGAGAUCCUUUGAUUCUGCAGUAGGUAUGACAGUGAGUACCAGGAAAGAGCCUUUGAUUCUGCAGCAGGUAUGACAGUUAGUACCAGGAGAGAGCCUUUGAUUCUGCAGUAGGUAUGACAGUACCAGGAGAGAGCCUUUGAUUCUGCAGCAGGUAUGACAGUUAGUACCA